rnacentral:rRNA from 1 species
CCUACGGGGGGCAGCAGUGGGGAAUAUUGGACAAUGGGGGGAACCCUGAUCCAGCGACGCCGCGUGAGUGAAGAAGUAUUUCGGUAUGUAAAGCUCUAUCAGCAGGGAAGAAAGAAAUGACGGUACCUGACUAAGAAGCCCCGGCUAACUACGUGCCAGCAGCCGCGGUACUACGUAGGGGGCAAGCGUUAUCCGGAUUUACUGGGUGUAAAGGGAGCGUAGACGGCGAUGCAAGUCUGAAGUGAAAGGCGGGGGCCCAACCCCCGGACUGCUUUGGAAACUGUAUGGCUGGAGUGCAGGAGAGGUAAGUGGAAUUCCUAGUGUAGCGGUGAAAUGCGUAGAUAUUAGGAGGAACACCAGGGGCGAAGGCGGCUUACUGGACUGUAACUGACGUUGAGGCUCGAAAGCGUGGGGAGCAAACAGGAUUAGAUACCCCAGUAGUC